rnacentral:miRNA from 1 species
AAUAUUAUACAGUCAGCCUCU